rnacentral:rRNA from 1 species
UGACAAAUCGGAGGAAGGUGGGGAUGACGUCAAAUCAUCAUGCCCUUUAUUGCCUUGGGCUACACACGUGCUACAAUGGUCGGUACAACGAGGAGCAAACCAGUGAUGGCAAGCAAAUCUCUAAAAGCCGAUCCCAGUUCGGAUUGUAGGCUGCAACUCGCCUACAUGAAGUCGGAGUUGCUAGUAAUCGCGGAUCAGAAUGUCGCGGUGAAUGCGUUCCCGGGUCUUGUACACACCGCCCGUCACACCAUGGGAGUUGUCAAUACCCGAAGCCAA